AUAGUUUAUUGAAAAGUAAUGAAUGUGAGAGGAAAAAAAUAAUAAAAACGUAGUAGUGGGUUUGGGUGGGGACCAUGAAAGGGGAGAGAUAUUAUAUUUAAAUGUAGCUUUAGUCAAAAAAGAAAGUGUAACACUUAUUAAAAUACGGCCGCAUUUAGUAAGUGUAACGCUUAUCAAAACACGGAGGGAGUACAUCUUAUCAUGAGUUGUCUUUUUUGUAGGGUUGGAUAUACAAGCUCAAAUUUCAUCUGCAUUGUUUAUGUACUUUUAAUGUUAUAUUUUUAAUUAUCUGCAUAGAUAUCUUCUAAUAUACCACCAAGAUGCCUUCUUUAGCAUGUUGCAGCAUUCUUGGGGCUCUCCAAUGAGUGAAUUAUGUUUGCUUUCAAGAAGAACUUGAAUAAGAGGGGAUAUGGGACUUUGACCAGUUAAGUUGUCCAUGCAUUCGACAAGAGUUUUUAUAGGAGUAAUUUGGCUCUUCUUGGACGGUUUUCUAAUGAAUGCCAAAAGGGGCAUUUUGAGAAGGCAGAGAGGAAAUUCUCCAUUGAUGUGGUGUGAAGCUUCUCUGCUCCAUUGAAGUGGCUUGAAGGUUGUUUGUCUGUGUGGGAUUGUAUCGGCGAUGGCUCCAUUGCGGUUGCAAUUUGUGGGCUACAACAAAGUUUUCUUCAGUUCAGGUUUGUUCAACAAGAAGAUAAAGAUUACAGUAUUGAUUGCCGAUGAGAAAUUCAUCUCCUAGAUGUCGACCCCGAUGAAGCUGUAAUUAAAUUACACUUUCAUCUCUUAAACCCUAAUUUUUGCAUUCAAUUUCAAUUUUUCCAAUUGAAUUUCUAAUGGAUCUUAAUUGAAUUUCUCAGGUCAAAAAUGUCAAGGCUUUGGUUGAAGUCGAGGUACAAUUAAAACCACUAAUCUAUCUUUGUUAAUUUGAUCAGAUUGAAUUGUAGUCACUGGUUUUGAUUUGGGGGAGCAGAGUGGGCUGGUGUUGUAGCAGCAACAAUUGAUGUACAAAGGCAAGGAGAUGAAUAAUCAUGACAAACUCAGUGUACUCGGUGUUUGUGAUGGCGAUUUGAUCAUGAUGCUUUCUAAUGCUGCUCCGCCUUCUCGUCCAUUUUCAAUUGACCUGGCCCUCGAUGGUUCUGCUAUGAAUACUGCUGUUUUUCAGCAGCAAUUUCGUGGUGAUUCUUAUCUGAUGUUUCAGUUGUAUGACUUGUAUCAGAGGGAUCCUAAACUUGCUCAAGCCAUAUCUGGGAAUGAUCUAAAUAGACUACAGGAGAUUUUGAGGCAACACCAUCAUCAAAACAACAUUGAGGCAAAAAGAAGAGGAGGAACUUGGACCUUCUAUUCAACGGUUUAUUACCAUUAAGCAUCUUGCGCCUGAUGACCCUGUUGAAGUUCUUGUAAUCCUUCAAAAAUAUGCUCAUUUAGUACAAGGUCUCUGGGUUCCAAAAUCUAGCAUCCGGAAUCCAAAUGCACGUGGACCAGAAAUUUUAGCAACAGAUUAUGCUCUUCUUCUGUUCAGCCAGAGUCCAUUCAUAAAAGACACAAAAUUAGAUGUCCUGGGAUCCCAGAAAUCUACUGGGAAAGUAGUACUAAGAGAAUUAGCUGUUGAGAGACCAUCCUGUAAAGAUUGGAAGUUCAAAGAGGCUACAGAUGUUUCGUUUAUGAAACUCUAUCCAGAUGUUGUCGAGAAGCAAAUGAAGCUAUGGGAAGUUAAUGGGCAACUGAUACAACAAAAAUUUGCCAAUCGUAAAGCAGGGCAAAGUUCGAGAAGCUCCAUCAGAGCUGAAUCCUCAAUGCCUUCUGAUGAAGGUGCUGUAAGAGCAACAACUGUGGCACACUCUGCAAGCACUUCCAUGUCAAAAGAAACUCAAGAAGCCCUACCUAAGGUUUUGAAAAGGCUUUUCCAAUGUCACAAAGUUUGCAGGCUGGGGGAUCCUGCUAAUUGCUAACUGGGAAGUACAUGAUGCAGCCGUAAAUAUACUAUACUAGUUUCAAUCCAGUGCAACCUAUCGAUAGUGAAUUGUUUGAUAAUUACGAAUGACAGUUAUUUUGAGGGUUUCUAGCUUGAUAACGGUAUCAAUUAGCAUGAGUAUUGCCGUAUUGUAAUUUUUCUUAUAUCCCAAACACCCUUUCUCUCCCCGCUUACGGUCGCAUCAGCAAUACCCAAUCAAACUCUCCCUCUCCCUCACUCUUCCACAAUAUUAUGGGUGAUAAUGUUGUAAAACAAUUCCCAAGCUCGACUCAAUCAAGGCUUGACUCAAUUUUGAUGAUCUCAGAUCAAGCAAUUCUUAUAAUUCAACUUGAAAAGCUAACGAGAAGGUCAAAAUUUGUAUGUAUAGUAUAUUCAAUGUUUUUUAUAAACUAAAACAUUUUGAGAUAUUUUGGAUUUUAGUUACUAUUAUCAUAUUGUAUUUGUUUAAUCUUGUUAAUUUACAAAAAUAUAUUUGAUGGAUUUCUGGUAUAAUUCG